ACGCGCUUAGUUUAUUAGUGAGAAUAGUAACUUGUCGUGUUAUUGGUGCAUUUCUGUAUGUAACGCGUU
rnacentral:tRNA from 1 species